rnacentral:rRNA from 1 species
AAACUUUCAACAACGGAUCUCUUGGUUCUCGCAACGAUGAAGAACGCAGCGAAAUGCGAUACGUAAUGUGAAUUGCAGGUUUUCGUGAAUCAUCGAAUCUUUGAACGCAUAUUGUGCCCUCUGGUAUUCCGGAGGGCAUGCCUGUUUGAGCGUCAUU